CUAGUCAACAUACAGGUAUAGCCCUCAACCAAUUAUCAUUAUUACAAUAUUAUAGUAUAUAUACGGCUAUUGCUAUUUACUUAAUUGACAGUUUAGAUAUCGAGAGGGAAGGGGAUGAGAAAAAAAAUAAAUAAAUAUUUAUAAAUUCAUGAGACAAAGAAAGACAAUAUAAACACAAAAAACCCUUCCAUAACUAUACACAUUCGAAACGAC